UACAGAGGGUGCAAGCGUUAAUCGGAAUUACUGGGCGUAAAGCGUGCGUAGACGGUCGUUCAAGUCGCGUGUGAAAGCCCCCGGCUCAACUGGGGAGGGUCACGCGAUACUGGUCGACUCGAAGGCAGGAGAGGGUAGUGGAAUUCCCGGUGUAGUGGUGAAAUGCGUAGAUAUCGGGAGGAACACCAGUGGCGAAGGCGACUACCUGGCCUGUUUCUUGACGCUGAGGCGCGAAAGCUAGGGGAGCAAACGGG
rnacentral:rRNA from 1 species